CGCACCAUGUUCAUGUCGAUGCCGUUGGUGUAGGUCCACGAAUGUUGGAAGUACUCCUCCAGUCUCUGCCGGAGUGGAUUUGGGAUCUGGUGGAAACGAAUGAACUCUUUUACGCGGAGCAUCUGCAUGUGAUAGCGUGCUGUUCCCGAGUAUAGCCGCUGGAUGAUGGCCGAGACAUUUCCAAAGAUGCUGGCGUACAUUAAAGCUGGAGAAAAGAAAAGUUGCAUGGACGGUAACAGAUCAAGAAGACUUACAUCCAAUAAGCAUGACACAAAUGGAAAAGAUCUUCUCCGAGUUGGUGUUUGGAGAUACGUUUCCGAACCCCACGCUGGUCAGAGAGCUGAAUGUGAAGUACAACGCUGUGACGUAUUUAUCUUUUAUGGACGGGCCAGAAUUGGGGUCACUGUAGUUAUAUCUCUUCCCAAUGGACACCCCUAGAUUGUCGAGCCAGCCGAUCUUAUGUUCCAGGUUGUAUGAGAUGAGAGUGACAGACGCUGGGAAACCAUAUGCCCUGUUGUGCCAGGAAUAUUGGCCACAUAAACAAGCAAACGGCUUGCCAGUUAUUCACUAGCAGCCGUCUGUAAGCUGUUCAAAAGCCCCCACUUUCAUCUUCAUCAUCAUCAUUAUUGAUCUGACGUUUGGAGUUCCCACUGAGUCCUUCGAUGUCAUGGACCGAAGAGGCUCGUCUUCUGCUGCACACACUGUUUCUGGAGAUGGACUGGGUCAGGCAGGUGGUAGAUUGGGCUUGAGACGGACUGGGUAGAUCCCAG